CGAAGAAGAGGUGAGCUGCCGCAACAUCGAAGCUCUCGCACCGCUGCUCCCGUCGAGCUCGCGCGUGCGCCGGAUCUGAUGGCCAACACAGCCCGUCUGUCUGCCGGCACCUCCAAGCAAGGCCUACAACAGCAGGCACUACGCGUUGCGCUUUCUGAUGUAAAUCACUUCCUGGACAGGCGGCACACAUCCUGAUGCAAAUCAGUUCCUGGACACCCAACUUGAGAUCAAUUAUCCCGACAUAUACUCUGUCGGAUUGCAUCUAUGUUCUAAAAUCUUUUCCAGACCUAAUCAAUAUGUGAAAGUUUAGUGAGGGGCGCCCCCGUUUACUCACGCCGCUCCAGAUCUGUACAC